AAAGUCUUUGGGCGGUACAAGAUGGACAUGCCUCCCAUUAGCUAGUUGGUAAGGUAACGGCUUACCAAGGCUACGAUGGGUAGGGGCCCUGAGAGGGGGAUCCCCCACACUGGUACUGAGACACGGACCAGACUCCUACGGGAGGCAGCAGUGAGGAAUAUUGGACAAUGGAGGAGACUCUGAUCCAGCCAUGCCGCGUGCAGGAAGAAUGCCCUAUGGGUAGUAAACUGCUUUUAUACGGGAAGAAAAAGAGCUACGUGUAGCUUACUGACGGUACCGUAAGAAUAAGGACCGGCUAACUCCGUGCCAGCAGCCGCGGUAAUACGGAGGGUCCGAGCGUUAUCCGGAAUUAUUGGGUUUAAAGGGUCCGUAGGCGGGCCGAUAAGUCAGGGGUGAAAGUCUGCCGCUCAACGGUAGAACUGCCUUUGAUACUGUCGGUCUUGAGUUAUAGUGAAGUUGCCGGAAUAUGUAGUGUAGCGGUGAAAUGCAUAGAUAUUACAUAGAACACCGAUUGCGAAGGCAGGUGACUAACUAUAUACUGACGCUGAUGGACGAAAGCGUGGGGAGCGAACAGGAUUAGAUACCCUGGUAGUCCACGCCGUAAACGAUGGAUACUAGCUGUCCGGAAUCCUUGAGUUCUGGGCGGCCAAGCGAAAGUGAUAAGUAUCCCACC
rnacentral:rRNA from 1 species